AGCUGCGAUAAAUAGUGCGAAUUGCAGACGCAUUGAGCACAAAGAUUUCGAAUGCACAUUGCACCAUUGGGUUGAUUCCCGAUGGUACGUCUGGUUGAGGGUCAAU
rnacentral:rRNA from 1 species